rnacentral:rRNA from 1 species
CCUACGGGUGGCUGCAGUGGGGAAUAUUGGACAAUGGGGGCAACCCUGAUCCAGCCAUGCCGCGUGUGUGAAGAAGGCCCUCGGGUUGUAAAGCACUUUCAGUGAGGAAGAACGCCUGGUGGUUAAUACCCAUCAGGAAAGACAUCACUCACAGAAGAAGCACCGGCUAACUCCGUGCCAGCAGCCGCGAUAAUACGGAGGGUGCGAGCGUUAAUCGGAAUUACUGGGCGUAAAGCGCGCGUAGGUGGCUUGAUAAGCCGGUUGUGAAAGCCCCGGGCUCAACCUGGGAACGGCAUCCGGAACUGUCAAGCUAGAGUGCAGGAGAGGAAGGUAGAAUUCCCGGUGUAGCGGUGAAAUGCGUAGAGAUCGGGAGGAAUACCAGUGGCGAAGGCGGCCUUCUGGACUGACACUGACACUGAGGUGCGAAAGCGUGGGUAGCAAACAGGAUUAGAUACCCCGGUAGUC